rnacentral:rRNA from 1 species
GACGAACGCUGGCGGCGUGCUUAACACAUGCAAGUCGAACGGAAAGGCCCUGCUUUUGUGGGGUGCUCGAGUGGCGAACGGGUGAGUAACACGUGAGUAACCUGCCCUUGACUUUGGGAUAACUUCAGGAAACUGGGGCGAAUACCGGAUAGGAGCUCCUGCUGCAUGGUGGGGGAUGGAAAGAUUCGGCGGUUGGGGAUGGACUCGCGGGUUAUCAGCUUGUUGGUGGGGUAGUGGCUUACCAAGGCUUUGACGGGUAGCCGGCCUGAGAGGGUGCACGGCCACAUUGGGACUGCGAUACGGCGCAGACUCCUACGGGCGGCAGCAGUGGGGAACCUUGCACAAUGGGCGGACGCCUGAUGCAGCAACGCCGCGUGCGGGAUGCCGGCCUUCGGGUUGUAAACCGCUUUCGCCUGUGACGAAGCGUGCGUGACGGUACUGGGUAAAGAAGCACCGGCUAACUACGUG